AGCAAUUUGGCGCAGUGGAAGCGCGGUAUGUUUACACCAUCAAUCAGUUCAAAUCGAGCGAUGACUAACUCAUUCCAGCCGGGCUCAUAACCCGGAGGUCGCACGAUCGAAACGUGCAAUUGCUA